GAUGAACGCUGGCGGCGUGCCUAAUACAUGCAAGUCGAGCGAACGGACGAGAAGCUUGCUUCUCUGAUGUUAGCGGCGGACGGGUGAGUAACACGUGGAUAACCUACCUAUAAGACUGGGAUAACUUCGGGAAACCGGAGCUAAUACCGGAUAAUAUUUUGAACCGCAUGGUUCAAAAGUGAAAGACGGUCUUACUGUCACUUAUAGAUGGAUCCGCGCUGCAUUAGCUAGUUGGUAAGGUAACGGCUUACCAAGGCAACGAUGCAUAGCCGACCUGAGAGGGUGAUCGGCCACACUGGAACUGAGACACGGUCCAGACUCCUACGGGAGGCAGCAGUAGGGAAUCUUCCGCAAUGGGCGAAAGCCUGACGGAGCAACGCCGCGUGAGUGAUGAAGGUCUUCGGAUCGUAAAACUCUGUUAUUAGGGAAGAACAUAUGUGUAAGUAACUGUGCACAUCUUGACGGUACCUAAUCAGAAAGCCACGGCUAACUACGUGCCAGCAGCCGCGGUAAUACGUAGGUGGCAAGCGUUAUCCGGAAUUAUUGGGCGUAAAGCGCGCGUANGCGGUUUUUUAGUCUGAUGUGAAAGCCCACGGCUCAACCGUGGAGGGUCAUUGGAAACUGGAAAACUUGAGUGCAGAAGAGGAAAGUGGAAUUCCAUGUGUAGCGGUGAAAUGCGCAGAGAUAUGGAGGAACACCAGUGGCGAAGGCGACUUUCUGGUCUGUAACUGACGCUGAUGUGCGAAAGCGUGGGGAUCAAACAGGAUUAGAUACCCUGGUAGUCCACGCCGUAAACGAUGAGUGCUAAGUGUUAGGGGGUUUCCGCCCCUUAGUGCUGCAGCUAACGCAUUAGGCACUCCGCCUGGGGAGUACGACCGCAAGGUUGAAACUCAAAGGAAUUGACGGGGACCCGCACAAGCGGUGGAGCAUGUGGUUUAAUUCGAAGCAACGCGAAGAACCUUACCAAAUCUUGACAUCCUUUGACAACUCUAGAGAUAGAGCCUUCCCCUUCGGGGGACAAAGUGACAGGUGGUGCAUGGUUGUCGUCAGCUCGUGUCGUGAGAUGUUGGGUUAAGUCCCGCAACGAGCGCAACCCUUAAGCUUAGUUGCCAUCAUUAAGUUGGGCACUCUAAGUUGACUGCCGGUGACAAACCGGAGGAAGGUGGGGAUGACGUCAAAUCAUCAUGCCCCUUAUGAUUUGGGCUACACACGUGCUACAAUGGACAAUACAAAGGGCAGCGAAACCGCGAGGUCAAGCAAAUCCCAUAAAGUUGUUCUCAGUUCGGAUUGUAGUCUGCAACUCGACUACAUGAAGCUGGAAUCGCUAGUAAUCGUAGAUCAGCAUGCUACGGUGAAUACGUUCCCGGGUCU
rnacentral:rRNA from 1 species